UUAUUCUUUUCCUUUUCGUCAUUUACAUUUAUAUUGAAUCAUGAGUAACCAUAUGUUUUGAAUGACAUACUAGAUGUCAACAACCAAACUAGAUUUUCUUAAUUGACACAGCAAUUUGAGAAUUGUUCUCAUGCAUGAAAAAUUGGUAACGUCCUUGAGUAGUCCUUUCUAGAGACACCUGUUGAUGACUCGAUUAAAGAAGAGGUGGCUACCGAAAUAAACGCAGUGAUGACAAUAGUACUGCAACGUAUGAGAUGCUUGCAACUAUGUCAUUGAGUUACAAAAGAGACUUGAGAGUAUAGAUGUUAACACAUAAUUCUUCAUUACAAAGAGUCGUAUGAUAAUAAUCAUGUGUGGAAGGAUAUGAGACUUCCAAACAAUUAUACCGGUGCAAAAUGACAGAGUAAUCUUCAAUCGAUGCUUAGACACUGAAGAUGAUUGAUGUUGAGAAAUGUCUCAAUUGAGUUCAAUCAUAAACUAUGAACUAAGUAGUGACUUGGUUCUGCAAUCUCUGUUAGAGAAAGCUAUUCACAACUAAUUAUGAAUUUAACGUGAAUAAGCUCGAAUGUACAAUUAUUGAAUUGCUUAACAUGCUUAAGACUGUUAAGCCUAACAUCGAAGUUAAUAGUGGACAAGCCAUUGAUUCCUCUAAAGAUAUUAAAAGGAAGUCUAAAGGGGCUUUGUGAAAGCGUCCAAUAUGGUUAAGACAGUCUAAGCGAAGGACAAUACCAAAUCUAAUGACCCUUGGUUUUAUUAUAGAAUGAAAAGUCAUUGGAAAGAAUAUUGUGUGGCUUACGUCUACUUCACGAGUUUCUUAGGUAUCUGAUACCAAGUGUAAAUAUCAUAUUUAUACAAAUAUGGUAAAACUAAAUAGAAGUAGACCACUGCGAAAGGGAGAAGUUAACCUACGCGUUGAAGAUGAGCAAAGGUUGCUGCAUUGCCUGUAAGAGCAUAUUUCUUGCCGCUGCCUUUUGACUUAGUAAUGGAAUUAGAGAAAUGUUGCUUUGCACCCACCAUAGUUGGAACAUUAAAAUGAAUUUCAUGUUCAGACAUGAAUCAUUUUAAUGUUAACAACAAUUGUUGUUCCUGCAUAUUUUGAUAAUUGUGGUAAAUUACAAAAUAACAUUUAUAUUCUAAAUACUAAGGAUUCUAUAAUGAGUAUAGAAAUUAUAAGAUAUAAAUGCGAUAAUCUAAUUAUUACCAAAAUCUGGCAUGACAGACUUUGUCAUAUAGAUGAAAUACAAUUCCAAGGUAACAUAAAGAUGUAUACUCGGGAUUAAUUGAUUUUGACAAAUAUAAAUUAUGCAUGUCUGGCACAAUGACCAAAUCUUCUUUUACUUGAAAAGAAGAAAGGUCAGUAUAAUUACUGGUCUAAUGCAUAGUGAUGCAUAUGGAUUCAUGUCAAUCAAUGUCAGGUAAUAUUUCUCUUAUUUCAUCAAUGAUCAUGGAUACUUGAUGAAAACUCAAACAUGAAACUCUUGAAAAGUUCAAGGGAUUCAAACUAGAAGUAGAAAAACAAAUAGGUAAAGAUACGCUCACACUAAGAUUCGAUCAAGUGAGAGUAUUUUAAAGAUAAAAUCUAGAUUAUCUAAGAGAGAAUGAGAUUCUCUUGCAGUGGACUAUUUCAUAUACACUGCAGCAAGGUGGUGUAUCUAAAAUGAGGAAUCGUUAAUUGUUAGAUAUAAUGUGAUUAAGAACAAGCCAUGCAAAUCUCCCAAAAUUGUUUUGAAGUCAUGCAUUGAUUGCAGUGUGCAACACAAUAAACCAUGUCUCAUCUAAAUUGGUUAACAGAACUCCAUACAAAUUAUGGAAAGGCAAUAGUCCCAAUUUAUCUUAUAUGAAAGCUUGGAGUCAUGACGCUUAUUUGAAGCGUCUUAAAUCGGAUAAGUUUGAGACUAAAUUUGAUAAAUAUAUAUUUGUGGGAUAUUCAAAGGAGACAUUUGAAUAUAAAUUCUAUUAUCAUGAAGAAAGUCUUCGUCUCACGAUAUAUCGUCUUCUUAGAGAAAAUGUUUACUCUAGGAGAGGACAGUGAGAGUAAAAUAGAAUUUGAAAGAGUUCAACAGUCCACAAAUAUAGUUAACCAAGUAGAUAAAUCCGAGUUUGAUCCCAUAUCUGACAUGGGACAUACUUUGGAUCAGGAAGUAAAGACUCCUGAGGACAUGACAGCUCUAUGUGAAUCUAAUAGGAUCAUUCGACCUUCAAGAAAGGUGUAAAUCCAUGAUCAUUAAUCAGGAAUUAGUGAUCCAGAAUAAUGAAUCUGCUGGUUGCAACAAAAUAAAGUCAAGUGUUGACUUAAAAGAGACAGCAUGAGGCCAUGAUACUCGAGAUGAACUCGACGUAUGUGAACAAGGUUUGGACCUUGGUUGAGCCUCCUAAUGGAAUAAAACCCAUAAAAUUUUGUAAAUAGUUUUACAAGGGAAAUGUCGAUAUGGAAGUGGAUAUCCAUAUAUAUAAAGCAAUGCUAGAAGCAAAGGUUAAGUGUUGACCUUGGUGAAACUUUUCUCCUGUGGACUUGCUGAAGUCCAUUCGGGUUUUAUUUGCAACGGUUGCAUAUCGUAACUAAAGGUUAAGAUAAGUCUCUAUAGAGUUGAAAUCUUCGAUUUGAUGAAAAAAAAGUCAAAGUGUUUGAUUUUAUCAAAUUUGAAGUCGAAUUGUGUAUUUACAAGAAGAUAGUGGGAGCAUUGUCGUAUUCCUAAUAUUAUAGAAAACGACAUCCCUAUGUUUCAAUCGUUGAAAUAAUGGUUGUUAAAGGAUUUAUUCAUAAACGAUAUGGGAUAAGCAACUUGAUCUAUAGAGAUAGAUCUAGAAGGUUGCUUAACUCGUCCCAAUCCAUAUAAAAUAAUGAGAAGAUUUCAUAUGGAGAAACUGGUUUACUCUUAAGCGAUAUGUUGGAAAGGUUCCAAACGUGAAACAACCGUUAAUUCAAUAGUAGAAACCUAAUACAUGGUUACUUCAGAAGUAGCAAAGAGUUGCAAUAUGGAUCAUGAUGUUCAAAAUGAAUUUGGAGUAAUUCCUGAUAUUGUUGAUCACAUACCAUUGUAUUGUGACAACAAUAUAGCCAUUGUGAAAGCAAAGGAACUAAGGUCUCAUCAAUGAUCCAAACAUGUAUUAAGGUGGUAUAAUCUCAUCAGAGAGAUAAUACAUAGAAAUGACGUAAAGAGAAGAACAAAUUCCCACAUUUAACAAUAUUACAGAUCCACUGACAAAGAGUUGUCAUAACAUAAACAUGAUCAUCAUGUAGACUUAUGGUAGUGGAUACAUAAGUGAUUGGAUCUAGUGCAAGUGGGAGUUUGUAAGUAUUAUGUUCUAGGUCCAAUCAACUUUGGACAUAAAUACUUUUGAUAUAUAAUUAAUGCAAUUUAAUGGCAGAUCUAUUAUUUAAUUAAUAGACGAUUAAAUAAAUAAUAGAAUCCGUAGAUUCAAAUCUUCGUAAUUUAUCAAUCACAAAGAGUUGUGAUUGUAAGAUACAAAUUACAUAUGAUUGAAUCUUAAAUCGUCCAUGGUCGUAAGUGAUAACGAGCUACGGAUAUCGUUAUUACGGAUAGACCAUCACGUGUGGCAUUUCUUAUUUGUGAAGUAAGUAGCUGAUCUCACAAGUUAAAGUGUGGUAACACUUAAAUGAACACGUGGAUGUUUUGUUAUAGAACAAAACAUUGGAGACCCGUCGAGAGAUUCCACAUGGAUAACUAUCUAAGUGUCAGUGGUUAAUCUCUAAUGUUCGGUAGUGGGAUUGGUCCUUUGACUUGAGGUCGUCAUGGUACCUUAUAUGAGGACAGUCAUACUUUGGUGGUGUUGGAUGUUGCUCUGCAAAGGGCCGCUAAUACGACAUCGUUCGGGUACGUCAAGAAUCGUAUGAAGGUUGUGAUUGAUCAAUAAAGGAUUCGUCACUCUUAGAUAGUAGGAGAUUAUGAUCCGCGUUUCAUUCAAUUAAGUCGAUGAUGGAAUCCUUGGCCAGGGUGUACUCAUAAGUCGAAAAGGAGUUUUCGACUUAUAUUGACUUAAUAGCAUAGUGAAAGAUAGGAUCAAUAAUCGAGAUCGACACACUUCCGUAUCUCGUAAUUGAUCGGAUCAUAUUGACGAAGGGAUUAUAGUUUCACGGUAAACGAAUGAGUUUGAUUUUGUCAUACCACGUGACAUUUUUCGCCACAUGUAUUGCCCUGGCACAUUGCUAGAUGUCAAUCAGGGACGGCGAGUGUGAAUUGACGAUAAAUUAAAAGGGUGUUUUAAUUUAUCAAUUUUGAUUAGAUCAAAAUAAUAUUUCACGUCGUUAAGCAUCGUGGUCGGGAACCUAAUGGGUCGCACACAAAAGAGAAUUGGAAGAUUGCAAAUUGACAAUUGGUUAAUUUAACAAUCGUUGGAUAAAUUAAUUAAUUGAAUUUGUCAUUUAUAUUCCCGAAUUAAUUAAUUGGAUUAAUUAAUUUAAGGACCGAGUUUAAUUGAUUGGAUUAAUUAAAUAUUGGACCGGACCGGGUCGAGCCCGUUUGGGUUUAUAUAAAUACAUGACUAGGGUUUGAGAUCCAUAUGAUUUUCAUUAUUCUUGCUGGCACAAGAGAGAAAACCCUGGUAGCUGCAAUCUUGUUCUCUGUGUGGUUUACCGUUGGAGGCUGAACAAUUGGACAGCUGUGGAUGGCGAAUCAAGAUUGUUGGAACGAAAAGAAUAGAAAGAAGUUUGCAGAUCUGGAAAAGGUACAAUCUUAUCAUAAUUUCUGUCUAAACACAAAGGCGAUUCUUGGUGGGAAUCGAAAAUUAUUUUAAAUUUCGCUAUGCAUGUAUAAGUAGAUUCCCAACAGUUGCAAAUUGCAUAAGAAGAUAUUGAGUUUUUCUGUGAUUUCAAGUCAUAAAGGGGAGACAAUUAGGAAGCUUAUUGAGAAGUGUUUGCUUGAUUGGGGAAUAGAGUGUGUGGGUGCCAUUACUAUAGACAAUGCAAAGACAAAUGAUGCAGCGAUCAUUUAAGUGAAAAAACAAGUUGAAGAAUUGGAAACCCAAUGAUACUAUGAUUUUAGGUAGCUCUUAUCUGCGUGUACAUUGUUCAGCAUGCAUAGUCAAUUUGAUUGUUAAAGAAGGGUUGAAAUAGUUGAAUCCAUCUAUAGAUGGUAUUAGUAAUGCGGUAAAAUAUUUUCGAUCAUUUCCUUCCUAGUUGACAAAAUUUUAAUGUUGUAUUGAAAGGGAAAAGAUUGCAUGCACAAAACUUGCUAUUUUAGAUGUUUCUGCAAGAUGAAAUUUAACAUUCUUAAUGUUGGAUAGUACAUUGAAUUUAGAAAAAGCUUUUGAAAUAAUGGAGAAAGGGGAUGGAUUUUAUUGUAAAUAUUUUGAUGAGAAUGAAGAUGGAAAAGAAAAAGAGGGGCCACCUACAAGUUAUGAUUGGGAGAAAGCUAGAAAAUUUGUCAAGCUUCUAAGAACCUUUUGUGAUGUCACAUUGAAAUUUAGUACUUCAUUGAGUGUUACUUCCAAUAUUUACUUCCAUGAAGUUUGUAAAUUCGGGCAAAUUUUGAAGAAAUGGGUGAGAAGCAAGAUUAUUUGCUAAGUAAUAUAGCAAAUAACAUGAAGAUUAAGUUUGACAAAUAUUGGGGUAAAGUUGAUAAAAUGAACAAGAUUUUGAUUGUAGUAGUGUUGCUUGAUCCUAGAUAUAAGUUGGAGUUUGUUGUACAUUGCAUUUGUAUCUUGCAUGACAGUGUUAAAGUUGAAGCUAUAAAAAAUGAGGUCAUGAAAUUAUUGUAUGCUUUGUAUAACCAACAAAAGGGAUGGCAUCAUUCAAACAAUGGGCCUAGUGGAAGCAAAAUUACGAGCGAUGAAUCUAAUGAUGGAGUCACUUUAUUGGAGGAUUCAAAUGAUGAUGAUGAUUGGGAUGAUUGCAAUUUUGAUUUUGGGUACAAGAAAUUGAAAACUAACAAAAUGGAUUUUUCUAAAAAAAUAUGAGGUACAACGAUAUCUAAUGGAACCCAUUGAAGAUGCUAGUGAUGAAAAUUUUGAAUUGAUGGAAGAUCAAUAAAUCAAGAUUUGAAAUUUUAUUUGAAGUUGCAAGGGAUGUUCUUGUCAUUCCUAUAUCUACAGUUGCUUUUGAGUCAGCAUUUAAUAUUAGAGGGCACAUUCUUGAUCCAUUUAGGAGUUCUUUAACUCCUUAAACAGUCGAGGCCUUGAUUUGUGCACAAAAUUGGCUAAGGGAAGAGUCUAGACUUUUGAGAAUUUUCCAAGAUAGAGUAUGCAUUGAAGAGAUGGAAUUCUAUGAGGGCAUUGAGACAUGUAAUAAAAUAUAUUUUAUAUUUUUUCUUAGUAAAUUUUAUUAGUUGAACAAAUUUGAAUUUAUUUAUGUCUGUUAAUAAUUUAAUUGUGCUUUUUCAAUUUUUUCUUGCAAAGUUUCUUAAUAGUGAGUAUGACAAGUCAAGCAAUUGAUGGAUAAAUCAAAUAGUUGGUAAGUAUUAGCAAUACUUUAAAAUAUUUUUUUUAUCUAUAACUUUUAAUUUAUAUUUCAUUUUUCAUGUAGAUUUGAAGGUUUGAAGCAAACGAACUAUUGAAUGGAUCGUUGAAGUUUUAAUAUUAGCAUCUACUCUUUGGUAUUUGUAUGCAUUGAAAAAUUAAUCUUGUUGGUUAACUUGUUAUUUACAUGUUAUUAAAUUGAACUACUUAAAUUUGUAAAACUACGAUUAAACGUGUCAUUAGUUGUAUUUACUUAGUAUUGUUAUAAAUGUUAAAAAUUUA
rnacentral:lncRNA from 1 species